rnacentral:sRNA from 1 species
AUGCUAAAAUAAAGGUGUAUGCAGGGAAUAUAAAAGAUCUGUAAGUAAAAAUUCUUGGCACUGUGGCUAGAGAAGACCUCAAAGGGUAGAGAUCAACUCGAGGAGAAUGGAGAUCUGAUCUGGUCAUGCCCUGGGUUACUAAGACAGGGAAAUGAGCUAAUCGUGAAGAAGAGCUAUUUUUAGUUGAUUGAAUUAUGUCUCAUUUACUGACCAAGCUUAGCACAUACUGAUGAAAGGCAGGGAGAGAUGUGUGUUAGAAAAACAGCUACAUUAUUCUGUUUCAAAUAAUUAUAUAUCUCAAUCUGUAAUUCACAAACAACUGCAUACUGUGGCUUCACUCCUUUUACAUGGUACAUUUUCCUUUUUAGAUCCAAAGGGGCUAUUCUGAACAUUUCGUCUGGCAGUGGCAUGCUCCCUGUCCCACUGUUGACCAUCUAUUCUGCAACCAAGACUUUUGUAGAUUUCUUCUCUCGGUGCCUCCAUGAGGAGUAUAGGAGCAAGGGCGUCUUUGUGCAGAGUGUCCUGCCAUACUUUGUAGCUACAAAACUGGCUAAAAUCCGGAAGCCAACUUUGGAUAAGCCCU